GUGAGGAAUAUUGGACAAUGGGCGCAAGCCUGAUCCAGCCAUGCCGCGUGCAGGAAGACGCAUCUAUGGUGUGUAAACUGCUUUUGUACGGGAAGAAACACUCCCUCGUGAGGGAGCUUGACGGUACCGUAAGAAUAAGGAUCGGCUAACUCCGUGCCAGCAGCCGCGGUAAUACGGAGGAUCCAAGCGUUAUCCGGCAUCAUUGGGUUUAAAGGGUCCGUAGGCGGUUUAAUAAGUCAGUGGUGAAAGCCCAUCGCUCAACGAUGGAACGGCCAUUGAUACUGUUAGACUUGAAUUACAAGGAAGUAACUAGAAUAUGUAGUGUAGCGGUGAAAUGCUUAGAUAUUACAUGGAAUACCAAUUGCGAAGGCAGGUUACUACUUGUGGAUUGACGCUGAUGGACGAAAGCGUGGGGAGCGAACAGGAUUAGAAACCCUUGUAGUCC
rnacentral:rRNA from 1 species